rnacentral:rRNA from 1 species
GCAUGCAAGUCGUACGGGAUUUUCUAGGUAGUAAUACUUGGAAAGUUUAGUGGCGAACGGGUGAGUAAUGCAUGGGUAACGUACCCCGGACACUGGGAUAGCGGCGGGCUUCGGCCCUUUAGCGAAAGUGCCGGUAACACCUGAUGACGUUCGAGAAUUUCAUGGUUUUCGGAUCAAAAGUGGGGACCCCUCGGGGCCUACUGGUCUGGGAGCGGCCCAUGUCCUAUCAGCUUGUUGGUGGGGUAAUGGCCUACCAAGGCGGUGACGGGUAGCCGGCGUGAGAGCGCGACCGGCCACAUCGGGACUGAGACACUGCCCGGACACCUACGGGUGGCUGCAGCAACGAAUAUUCCGCAAUGGACGCAAGUCUGACGGAGCGACGCCCGCGUGAAGGAUGAAGUCCCUCGGGAUGUAAACUUCAAUAGUUUGUCAGGAAGAGAUGGGGCCUAAUAUGCCCCUGAUUUGACCACCAAACGAAAGGGGUGGCUAACUCCGUGCCAGCAAGCCCGCGGUAAUACGGAGACCCCUAGCGUUGUUCGGAAUUACUGGGCUUAAAGCGGGUGUAGGCGGAACGGUAAGGAUCUUGUGAAAGCCCCGGGCUC